AUUGAACGCUGGCGGCAUGCUUUACACAUGCAAGUCGAACGGCAGCACGGGUGCUUGCACCUGGUGGCGAGUGGCGAACGGGAGAGUAAUGUAUCGGAACAUAUCCGGAAGUGGGGGAUAACGUAGCGAAAGUUACGCUAAUACCGCAUAUGCCCUGAGGGGGAAAGGAGGGGAUCGUAAGACCUUUCGCUUUCGGAGUGGCCGAUAUCAGAUUAGCUAGUUGGUGAGGUAAAGGCUCACCAAGGCGACGAUCUGUAGCUGGUCUGAGAGGACGACCAGCCACACUGGGACUGAGACACGGCCCAGACUCCUACGGGAGGCAGCAGUGGGGAAUUUUGGACAAUGGGGGAAACCCUGAUCCAGCCAUGCCGCGUGAGUGAAGAAGGCCUUCGGGUUGUAAAGCUCUUUCGGACAGAAAGAAAUCGCAUUUACUAAUACUAAGUGUGGAUGACGGUACUGUAAGAAGAAGCACCGGCUAACUACGUGCCAGCAGCCGCCGUAAUAC
rnacentral:rRNA from 1 species